GAGAGUCCUUUUCAUGAUUCUAGGAGAAAAGAUGGGUCUUAUAAUAUCUUUGUGACGAUGACAAUUUACAACAGCACACGGAAGAUAGUGUAAGAUUCCAAAGUUGGAAUGCUGACAUUAAAAGGUACCUUUUGCUUUCAAAAGACCCAGUGGAAGAUCUUUGGCUUCUGACCUCUCAACCACCAAUAAAAGUUAACAUGCUCUCACUGAAGUUCACUUUCAAUAUGAUACCGUCCACAAAGGAUCACUAGAAGAUGCGAUUUGGGCCAUUUUUGAAACAGCGAGCAUCCACUUGUGCUGAUUCAUCCACAGAUUUUCCGGCCAGAUGCCCCAUUGGCAAAGCCCCGGAGCCUUCCUUUCAUUAGUUCUCCGCUCCAGCCAUCCGAGGAAUAUUGUGUUUUAGCCCCAAGGGUUUUCAAAUUAGUCCAUGAUUGGGGUAGAGCUGAAGAGAGGCCUGGUGAAGGGAGCCACCAGGCACUCCAUUGUUCUCUUGAUGACUUCACCUCAAGGCAAGAAAGAGAAAUUGGUCAGAGUUUGGAGAAGAGAAAGGAAAUUUCGCUUUUAUUGAGGACCUACUGUAUGCACCGGCAAUUCACUUAAGGUGGUUUAUUAAAUCCUUCAAAACAA